rnacentral:rRNA from 1 species
AGAGUUUGAUCCUGGCUCAGGACGAACGCUGGCGGCGUGCUUAACACAUGCAAGUCGAGCGAUGAAGCCCUUCGGGGUGGAUUAGCGGCGGACGGGUGAGUAACACGUGGGUAACCUGCCUCAAAGAGGGGGAUAGCCUCCCGAAAGGGAGAUUAAUACCGCAUAACAUUAGUUUUUCGCAUGGAGAACUAAUUAAAGGAGUAAUCCGCUCUGAGAUGGACCCGCGGCGCAUUAGCUAGUUGGUGAGGUAACGGCUCACCAAGGCGACGAUGCGUAGCCGACCUGAGAGGGUGAUCGGCCACAUUGGAACUGAGACACGGUCCAGACUCCUACGGGAGGCAGCAGUGGGGAAUAUUGCACAAUGGGCGAAAGCCUGAUGCAGCAACGCCGCGUGAGUGAUGAAGGCCUUCGGGUUGUAAAGCUCUGUCUUUUGGGACGAUAAUGACGGUACCAAAGGAGGAAGCCACGGCUAACUACGUGCCAGCAGCCGCGGUAAUACGUAGGUGGCAAGCGUUGUCCGGAUUUACUGGGCGUAAAGGAUGCGUAGGCGGAUUUUUAAGUGAGAUGUGAAAUUCCCGAGCUUAACUUGGGAGCUGCAUUUCAAACUGGAAGUCUAGAGUGCGGGAGAGGAAAGUGGAAUUCCUAGUGUAGCGGUGAAAUGCGUAGAGAUUAGGAAGAACACCAGUGGCGAAGGCGACUUUCUGGACCGUAACUGACGCUGAGGCAUGAAAGCGUGGGUAGCAAACAGGAUUAGAUACCCUGGUGGUCCACGCCGUAAACGAUGAGUACUAGGUGUAGGA